AACACCUUCAUGUUUUAAACAUAGUAUGAGUUCAAAGGAAAUGUGAGUCUGGAAAGGAGAGUUUGUUUUUACUAUUAUGCUUUUCUUUGCAGGUGUGUCUGCAACCUUGAGGCUUGGCCUCUUUUCUGCUUUUGAAGCCACUGGUGAAAUAGAAGGGAGAGGGCAGGGUGGUGUUGGAAAGUCUUCCGAGGAGCACAGUAAAAAUGCAGAGUUCCGUCGCCACUUCAGAUGAUACCAUAUUGUGCUAGUUCAUGUAGUUCCAGAUGAUUGAAGGCCUCCCAGGGGCAUAUGACAGUGAUAUCUGUAAACCAAAGAAGGACAAUAGCAUCAAUAGUACAGUUGACACUGUGUUAACUCCAUUAUUUAAGUGCGUAGCUCUUUAUUUUCUUCAGCCUUUAUACCCAUGUAGACAAUUGAUAUCUCUUCUAGGCAAGAAAAUGGCAUAAGUCAGAACAAGGGACUCCUCUGUCACCAUUCAGUGUGAUUCUUGCAAGCUAACAGUGGGACACUGUUGAUGUAGCCCAGGAAGAGAAGGCAUCAGGUGCCCAGUCCUAUCCAGGUCAUUAUACUUCUCCAAUCAGAGGAAAAUGAUUCGUGGUCAGUUGACCGUGAGGAAAGCCAGCUCAGAGCCUAGUUUGUUGUUUGGUGUCCAUUGGCAUCACGAUGCUGGAUCAUUGCUAUGAAGAGAAUCAUCCUUUGAAAUUCUUGGAAAGGAGCAGUGAGAUUUAGCAAGAACUGCACAUGGCAAAAUACAAAGAGCAUCCAUACAAUAUUAGUUCCCAUGCUGGCAGUUAUAUAAAUGAAGGAUGAAUCUGUAUGAAGGAAGGACAGAAAUAAAUGGGAAAAAUAUUCAUGCUUCAACAACAUGAUCUUGAACAACAAAUAUUUUCUCAUAGAUUUUAUAAUUGUCAUAAACUAUCAAAAAUGUUCUGGUAUUAAUAUUUAAGAUAUUUUUGUAGUUCUUUAUGUUUCUGCCUACAAAUGUAUGGUAAUAUGAGAGGGUCUCAUGAUGCAGUGCAUGUGUCCCUACCUCUGGGCCAGAAGGUCUGGGUUUAAACCCAAAAGUGUGUCAAAAACAGAUAGAUUAAUAAAAAACUAAGAACAUAGGAAAGGAGUGGUCAUUUGGACUUGGCCCAUUUUCUUUCACACUAAUGGUUAAUAGAAACCUACAUAUAGCAGUUUUAAAAUGUACUAUUGACUAGACUUUAAUAUAUCCAAUAUAUGGUUUUCUAAUGCUAUUGACUUGCAAGCUAUCUCAAGAAUCCAUUUUGAAAUUAACCUUAAUAAUUCACUACAAUCUCCAACACUGAAGAAAAGAAUCGAGGAUUACGGUGUUUGAUGAAGAAGGGUAGGUGUUGCUCCAAGCCAGCCUGAACUAGUUGGGCUGGAUGGUCAGUUCCAAACUGUAAAUUUUAAAUGAUUCUCUGCUCCUCUAAAGAAUGAAAACAAAGCAAACAUGUGACUGGAGAAUUUAAAUCCAACACUAAUCAUCUUUCAACAUGGUAAUCACCAGUGUUGUUACCUUGGUGAAAUCUGAUUGAAACCACAGUUCUUGAUAAGUGGAAUUAAUUCAAAAUGAUGGGUUGCGUAAAUCAAAUUCAGUUGAUUAAUAAACUCUGUCAUUGAUUA